rnacentral:rRNA from 1 species
UACAGAGGCCUCGAGCGUUAGGCGGAAUCACUGGGCUUAAAGCGUGUGUAGGCGGACUUCUAAGUACCUUGUGAAAUCCCACGGCUCACCCGUGGAACUGCUCGGUAUACUGGUCGUCUUGAGCCUUCUAGGGGCGAGUGGAACAAAUGGUGGAGCGGUGAAAUGCGUAGAUAUCUGGAGGAACACCGGUGGCGAAGGCGGCAUCCUGGACCGAGAUUGACGCUGAGGCGCGAAAGCCAGGGGAGCAAACGGG